rfam:Microgenomates (Woesebacteria) bacterium GW2011_GWA1_41_13b TT42_C0003, whole genome shotgun sequence.
GGUCGAUUAGCUCAGUUGAUUAGAGCGCUUCUCUUACACAGAAGAGGUCGCAGGUUUAAAUCCUGCAUCGACCA